GGCAGGCCUAACACAUGCAAGUCGGACGAGAAGGUACCUUCGGGUACUGGAGAGUGGCGCACGGGUGAGUAACGCGUGGGGACCUACCUCUUAGUGGGGGAUAACGGUUGGAAACGACCGCUAAUACCGCAUACGCCCUUCGGGGGAAAGAUUUAUCGCUAAGAGAUGGACCCGCGUUGGAUUAGAUAGUUGGUGAGGUAACGGCUCACCAAGUCAGCGAUCCAUAGCUGGUUUGAGAGGAUGAUC
rnacentral:rRNA from 1 species